ACAGAGGGGGCAAGCGUUAUUCGGAAUUAUUGGGCGUAAAGGGCGCGUAGGCGGUGUCUUAAGUGAGACGUGUAAUCCCCGAGCUUAACUUGGGAACUGCAUCUCAGACUGGGGCGCUAGAGUACUGGAGAGGGUGGUAGAAUUCCACGUUGGCGGGUGGAAUGCGGAGAGAUGUGGGGGAGGGGCAAGGGGGUAGGCGGCCACCUGGAAAGUAUCUGACGCUGAGCCGCGAGAGUGUGGGGAGGAAGCAG
rnacentral:rRNA from 1 species